UAAGANUUGUGAAACACUAAUACACAU
rnacentral:tRNA from 1 species